UACAGAGGUCCCAAGCGUUGUUCGGAUUCAUUGGGCGUAAAGGGCGCGUAGGCGGCCCUCCUUGUCGCGUGUGAAAGCCCCGGGCUCAACCUGGGAACGGCGCGCGAGACGGGGGGGCUGGAGUUCGGGAGAGGAGCGUGGAAUUCCCAGUGUAGAGGUGAAAUUCGUAGAUAUUGGGAAGAACACCGGUGGCGAAGGCGGCGCUCUGGACCGAGACUGACGCUGAGGCGCGAAAGCGUGGGGAGCGAACAGG
rnacentral:rRNA from 1 species